rnacentral:rRNA from 1 species
GUGCUUAACACAUGCAAGUCGAGUGCGCGUCUGUAGCAAUACAGAUGGCGCACGGCGCACGGGUGCGUAACACGUGGGUAACCUGCCCUUUGAUGGGGAAUAACCUCGCGAAAGCGAGGCUAAUUCCGCAUAAGAUCCGCAAGGAUGAAAGCCGUAAGGCGUCGAAGGAGGGGCCCGCGCACGAUUAGCUAGUUGGUAGGGUAAUGGCCUACCAAGGCUUUGAUCGUUAGCUGGUCUGAGAGGAUGGCCAGCCACACUGGAACUGAGACACGGUCCAG